UACGUAGGGGGCGAGCGUUGUCCGGAUUUAUUGGGCGUAAAGGGUGCGCAGGCGGCCUUUUAAGUCAGGUGUGAAAUCCCACGGCUCAACCGUGGUAAGCACUUGAAACUGGGAGGCUUGAGUUAAGGAGAGGAAAGUGGAAUUCCUAGUGUAGCGGUGAAAUGCGUAGAUAUUAGGAGGAAUACCAGUGGCGAAGGCGACUUUCUGGACUUAUACUGACGCUGAGGCACGAAAGCGUGGGGAGCGAACAGG
rnacentral:rRNA from 1 species